GCCUUGGUGGUGUAGUGGUCAGCACACUCGGCGCGUAUUCGAGAAAUCCGCGGUUCGAGUCCCGGCAAGGGCA
rnacentral:tRNA from 1 species